rnacentral:lncRNA from 1 species
GGAUGGAUGAGUGGAUUGAGGGGUGGAAUGGGUGGGUGGAUGGAUGGAAGCGCAACUAUAUUGGCUACCCCAAAAUGAAUCUACUAUCCUCAUGAUGGACUGGAUUUAUGAUGAUUCUUUCCAGAACCAGAGCAAUGGACAAAGAUGACCUCAGAGCAUCCCUUCCAGAAUAAGUUGUCUAGUAUUCUACGUAUGUCUACAGAAAAAAAGAAAUGUGCAGUCUACAGAAAAGCAAGAAAACACUUUAUAACUAUUCUAUUGAGAGGGGCCUUCCAAAGGUCACUCCAUCUAUCCCCCUCUCUGUGGCAGAAUGUCAAGAGCAAUUUUUAACACACACCAUCUAAUCUAAAGAAACCCACAUAUGCAUGCAUCCAAAUCAGACUUUCCAGAAGAAAGGGAGGAGUACAUGUGCAUCUACCCUACCACCUCUUGCCUUCUGGCUGGGGGAAUGGAAAAACUCAUCAUCAGUAUAGCUGCUGCCCCUGGAGCCAAGGGCACAGCCACAGAGCCAAGUCUCUGUGAAAUGCAUCAGAUCAAACUCAAUGAUCAAUAAUAAAAUCAACAGCCUUCUCAAAGCCAAAGGGGUUGAAAUUCAGAAGGGGCAAUAUUGUAAUUUCUCCUGGGGCUAUACAGCAUGCUCAUUUUUGAGAUUUACAGCCUUUAACCAAUCCUCUGGAUGCAAGGCAUCAUGCUAAGAAGUCAAGGUUUUUGACUAGGUGAGAGACCAGGUUCAGGUGAGUCACAAUACAACAAUUAAAGGGGUUUAUGGACCCCCAGCCCCCCAUCACUCCCUCCAGCUCCAACAGGAGAAAUAUAAACCCCUUAUGAGGGCUAACCAAUCAAACCAUAAAAUCCAAUAGCCAUACAGUUCAGCUGGAAGAAUGUUCCUUUGUUAAACAAACAAUGUGUCUGGAACACUUUUUGGUCCAUUGUUCCAUUCCAGGACAGAGACUGAAGCUAUAGAAAUAAAUUAGUGAUUUCAAUCAUGCUCAUCCUGGACUGAUCCUACUGGCACAUGGAAACUUCCUGGCUGGGGCUGAAGAAGAGAAUUAACUCUUUCAGGCAAAGUGGAAACAUGAAGUUUUAUGAGAGAGAGAAGAAACCUUUGGUGGUGCACAGGGAUUUGAAUUCAGACUCUCCACAGCACCGGACAAUUGCGCAGUGUUGAAGUCUCAUGCUGGUCUGUAAAGCCAGGCCAGAAGAGGAACUGGGAAUAAUUAGGAUGGGAGAUUACAUCCAACUUACAGUUUGUGGAUUCUACCCCUGAAUUCUAUCCACAAAACCCUCAAGAUUCAAGAACCCUUGAUGCUGUCAUAUGGCCCCAGGAGUCAUCAGAUAUAAGCACCCUAAGAAGCUGUCCAGGGGUAGCAGGGAGACUCUGUCUUCAGUGAAGGAGGACACUUAAGGCUGAAGUGGCCCCAAGAACCACCCUCAUCAUCUGUCAAGCCCAGAUAUAACCAUUCUGUAUCCUCAGACCUCAAAGCCUUAAAGACUCUGUCUACCACGUACACCACCCACUUCAGCUAAACCUUUCACACUUGCACAGUCCACGCCAGCAUCUCAGCAUCCUGAGGGUGGCACCCAGUAACAAAGAAAAUCAGCAAAGCACACAGCUGGCUAAGGUGAUGCACAGACCAGAAACCCUUGACAAGGACAACCGUGACAUUCGUUGAGCCAUAGCAUCUGGUACUGCAGUUUGGGAUAUGGCAGAUCAAAGCCCAGAAACCUCCUUCCAACCCCUUCUGAGGAAUCCUAGAGAUCUCCAGAAGCACCCUGUCAGUUGGUAAAAGACUCCAGACAUAAAGGACUUGGUAAAGAGCCACACCCAGCUCCCUUCCUCCUCCGUGUAAACCCUCAGCCUGCUUUUCACUAGACCCACUGCCCAGCUUUGUGCAAAACCUGGACACUGCUCAUCUCUGUGGCUGGGUGAGUGCCACCUCCUGGGGAGUAUGAGAGAAUAAAGAACAAGAGGAGCA